rnacentral:sRNA from 1 species
GCAGAGAGCGCCAGGCGGCUACAGCAGCUGAGGAGGCAGUGGCGCCCGCGGCCGCAGCGUCGGGGCUGGAGCAAUGGCUGCGACCGCGGUGGCGGCAGGGGCGGGGGCUGUGGCGGGAACCGAGUCGGCCCAGGGUCCCCCGGGCCCGGCAGCGGCGCUGGAGCUGUGGCUCA